rnacentral:lncRNA from 1 species
AGCAGAUGUCACAUCCCUAUACACAGUUAUUGAACAUCUACAGGGAUGUGAGGCUAUUCAAUAUGCACUUGGCACUUUUUCAGAACUUAAAAAUGAUCAAAUUGAAUACAUCAUGAAAUGUGUAGCUUUUAUCCUUAGCCACAACUUUUUUUGGGCUAACCAUCACUAUUACCUCCAGAUUGAGGGCACUGCCAUGGGAACCAGAUUUGCGCCAAGUUACACC